rnacentral:rRNA from 1 species
CCAUGGCGGGGAGGUAAUACCCGUUCCCAUUCCGAACACGGAAGUCAAGAGCCCCAGCGGCGAGGGUACUGCGGGAGUCGCCCGUGGGAGAGUAGCACGCCGCCAGGC